rnacentral:lncRNA from 1 species
GGCUACGUUCUCAUUUCCUGAAGAGAACAGUGAAAGAAAGGGUGAGCUCAACUAGCCCAGUAAGAAAUAUUAUGACUAAGAUAAUGCAGAAUAAAUUAUCAUUAGCCUUCAACAAUGUUAAACUGAUAAAAUAUAAUAGACAUCAAGUUUAACUGCAGCGGAACAUGCAAUCCAUUAAAAAAGUCAAGUAGAGAAUAAAAUCUACUAUCUUUUAUGAUUUAAAAGGUUUUCAUCACUUUUAUCGCUAGGACUCAGCUUAAUAAAUAAU